rnacentral:tRNA from 1 species
GGUGUUGUGGCUCAGUGGUAGAGUGCUUGCCUAGCAUGUGUGAGGCACUGGGUUUGAUUCUCAGCACCACAUCA